AUGCAGGCUAGGCCCGCCGCCGCUCCGCUCUCGGCUCCCGCCCCUCCCAACGAUUCCGCCGCCGCCGCCGCAGUAAUCUCAAUCCUCAGCGACGCGGACCCCGACGACCGCCUUCGCGCGUCCGGCAUCAGCCCGGACCCCGCCCUGUUCCCGCAUCUCCGCCGGUCGCUCACCACCCUCCCGGAGUCCGCGUUCCCCGCGCUCGCCCGCUGGGCCGGCUCCGCCGCCGCCGUCUCCCUCCUCGCCUCCCGCGGCUUCUUCGCGGCCUCCUGGCGCCUCCUCCUCCUCCACUCGCCUUCGUCUCCGCCCCCUCCCCUUGCCGCCUUCGCCCCGCUCGUCCGCCGCUACGCCCGCCUCGGCCGCGCCUCCGCGGCCCUCCGCGCCUUCCACUUCCUCCGCCGCAACCCCGACCGCUACACGGUCGAUGGCGACGGCUCGCCCGCCGCCACCUCCCUCCUAAACAUGGCUGUCGGGGCGCUCUGCAAGGAGGGUCACCCGCGCCCGGCCGCCAAACUCGUCGAGCGGUGCCGGCGUGAGGGGGAGCUCGCGCCCGAUGAACGGACCUACAACAUGCUCCUCGACGGCUGGUCCGGCGCCCGCCGGCUGGACAAGGUCGGGAAGCUCUGGGCAGAGAUGCGCGUGGCCGGCGUGCGGCCGACGGUGGUCUCCUACGGGACUCUCAUCAAGGCGGUUUGUCGGAUGCAGCAGCCGGACCAGGCAAUGUCUCUCCUCGACGAGAUGCGGAAGGAGGGGAUCGAGGCGAAUCUCGUUACCUGCAACCCCAUCGUGCACGCCCUGGCUCACGCCGGCCGAUUUCGGGACGCAUACAACCUGCUCGAGAAAUUUCCUCUCUACGGGGUGGCGCCUAAUAUCUCGACAUUCAACUCGCUCGUGUUGGCUUACUGCAAAUAUGGAGACCUUGCCGGGGCAAGCGGUGUGCUCAAGGCCAUGAUGGGGAGGGGCAUCUUGCCAACGGCAAAAACGUACAAUUACUUCUUCGUGUUCUUUGCCAAGACCGGCAAUGUUGAGCUGGGGAUGAAUCUUUAUAACAAGAUGGUCAACAAUGGUUAUGCGCCGGACAAGACCACUUACAACCUCCUGGUCAAGAUGUUGUGCGAGGCUAAUCGGCUUGAAUUAGUGGUGCAGAUGAUAAAGGAGAUGAAGGUUAAUGGUUUUGAGGCUGAUCUGGCAACAAGCACCAUGCUGAUACAUUUGCUUUGCCGAAGUCAUCGGUUUGAGGAAGCAUGUGCUGAGUUUGAGGACAUGUUUCGUAGAGGGCACGUGCCCCAGUAUAUCACUUACAGGAUGCUUAUGAAAGAGCUCAAGCGGCUGGGUUUGGUUCAACUGGAAGAGAAGUUGACCGACCUAAUGCGCUCAGUACCACAUUCUACAAAGUUGCCUGGCAGCUACAGAGAAAAGGAAGGCGACAACGCUAUAGAAAAGAGAAAAUUAAUAUUGGAGAAAGCUCAGGCUGUUUCCAAUGUUCUGAAGGAGUGUAAAGAUCCGAAGGAGUUGCAGAAGCUAAAAGAUGAUGAAGAAACUGAUGUCCAGGUCGCAGAUAGGAUAGUCGCCAACAUUAGAAAAAGAGUAUAUGGGGGUGUCUCUAGGUUAGCCUCUCCACUUCCUUGA
rnacentral:rRNA from 1 species